UCUAGACAGGAACCGGACUUGAAGAGGCAGCCCUGGAGAAUGAAAUAUGAAACACCUCAUUCAAAAGCUGCAACAGGAAAAAGGGAAGGAAAACAUUCUCUCUGUUUAACAAUCAAACUUUUGAAACGGCCUGUCCAAAACGCGGCCCACAAUGCUGGGUGCACUGCCUGUGAUACUGAAGCACCAAUAGCAUCCCAGCAAUAUCACUGGAAAUCAAAUUGGCCUCUGAGCGGUAAUUGCGUCAGACACUGAGGCUCCGUUCAGCCAGUCAAGUGUGAAAUAGAGGGAUUUUUAAGCAUGAGUGAAGUGAAAAGAUCAAUGCUGCCUCGACCGCAAGUCACUACCCUCAUGGGUCAACAGCGUGAGCUUCGCCGAACGCUGGGGUCACAAGUUUCCAUCCUUACCACACAAUCCCAAAAGAGCUUUGCAGAAAGGAGGAGGUGAUCAGAGACUGCAUGGGGGUCUGGAGUUACUAACCAACCUUUUCUUGCCAUCUGAAAGCCUGAAGCAAAGCACAAAGGCAGGCACCAGACUCUCCGUGGCUUUUCAAAACACUAGAGAAGACAUUUUUAUUAACAGGCCUCCUGGGUCUGGGAUGUGAAUCACCAUAUGUAGACAGCCAGCUUGUCUCAGUUUCAGCUUAGAGGCCUCUGCUGUUGGCCUGCCUGGGCCAGUGCAGCAGCCAUGGAGAGGGACAAGAACCAUUUGCCAUAUGCUGAGGGAUUACUGUAUAAAAAAGAGAGACGUUUGGCUGUGCUCCAAGGUACAAGGUUUCCAAAUACAGUUUCAAUCCUGGACAGAAAAGUUCCAGCUAAAUAUAGCCAUGACAGUUCAGAGUUGACAUUUUUUUCCUCAAGUUCACUUAAAAUAGUCUGGCAGCAGAUUUUUGCCCUUUAAGUGAGGAGACGAGGUAAGCAUUACAUAUACAAAGUUUAUAUAGACAAUAAACAGUUCCUGCAAAGCUCAGAGGAUCUAGCUUGGGGCACUUCUACGCUCAGGAGUCCUUUUGUAGUCUACGGUUGCACCUUAGCUGCGAGAGACGGAAGACAUGUAUGUCUUCUGCUUAAAGGCAGAGGCUACUAAACCCUGUUGCUCUGGCUAGAGCAUACCCAGUACUGUUAAGGACCUUGUUAUUCUUUUGGGGCUAAUUCCAUUUAUCUCAAGGCAGAGGGAGGCUAAUGCUGAUAUAUGGCUCUUAAUAAAAGCUUAUCAAUGUUAUACUUGAUCAGUAGAUUAAACCAGCAGCCCAGGAUUCCUACGCAUGUCCCAACAGUGGCUGCACUGGAGAGAACUACCCAGUCUCUCCGACAAACAUCUGUACAUGCACUUUACAUGUGAAGGAGAGUUAUGGCUGGAUCUGCCUUGUCAAAGCAGACCAUAAAGAGGCAUUGGGAAUUUCACCGGAGGUCCCCAUAGAUUGGUUUGUGCUGCUCCUCCCUCAGCUCCUCUGAACUCUGGACAAGGACAUGUCUCACCAUACUAUCUAGACUGGAUGUACAUGGAUGCGAUGAUGCCCAUGGUCUUUGACAAACUUGCAUCCUGUAGACAAAGUGCUCCCAUGUUCUCCAUCCACAAUAAACAGACCCUCCUCCAUUGUGCCUACCAGAGAGCAUAGGGAACCCAGAAAUCAUCAUCAGGGCAGGCUUGGUCUGCAAGCCAGAGUCAUGGCAAUCCUUCUCAGGGAAGGGCUGUACAGCUCCCUGCCACUUGGGAGACCACACAAAGGUCCUCAUAUACAAUCCCUCCACUCCCAAGUCCACAACCAUUGAAGUCCAGCUAGAGGCUAGAGAGAGGCCUGGAUCUGCCACCCUGUAUGGUUUCACGCCACUGCUUCCUCCUUCCCUUCUUGCUGGUCAUCCUCACACCUGCCUUGCCAGUGGUGUGCCUCAUACCCCCUUCCAGCAUCAGCACCCCCUGCAAGACACAGUGGGAGUAGGGACCCAAGGAGAUCACAAGGCAUACUUCCUUCUCCUUUGCUGCUUCAGGGAAGAGCUGACUUGGAAGAAGGAAUACCACCUCCCAAGCCAUCACCACCCAUUCCCUGUGCCACAUCAAUCUGACCAGGAGAGGUCUCUCGACACAGCCUCAGACAGCUCCAGCUUUAUUUUAAUGUGCUAACCAGUUGUGAGGGAGCAGGCUUCAAAGCAGCAGACUUCCACUCUGAGUAGCAGACACACUUUGAGCAAGUUUGAUCUGUUAAGCCCCCUGGCCAACAAGUUGAGCUGCAUCAGUCACUCUUAGACAAGCGCUCUCUGCCACAUGCAUUCCUAGAUGAUGCUAUGCAAUCACUGGUCAUGGUUCUGUACACACAGCUGGAAGGCCGGCACACCGGGCAUCACUUCAUCCUGGAGGAAGGGGCCUCCUUUGCUUCUACCUUAUGCCAGAUGGCUGUGAUCUGGAGCAGAGCUCCACAGUCAUCUGGAACUACAGCCAUAUUUAGGGAAUAAGAAUGCAUCAACUCAACCUGGAACUGGAGCAGGUCCUCUCUUGAAAUAAGGGCUCUGUUCAUCAUAGCAGGCCUAGGAUCUCUUGAGUGGUCUGCCAUUCCCCAGGUGGCCUGCUCUGGCCUCUUUCCCUCUCUGGCACACUAACAACCCCCUGCCUCCCCUACCCUGCCUUGGUAUUAUUGUAAUAAACUUGGGAGGCAGCCAGGAGGAUACUUCAGGUGCCUUUUCCCAUGCUGUUCAUCAUGGGAAGGCAUCUGGAAAUCCCUAGCCUUUACUGAGAAAACUCACUUUCUUUCUCUGAGACUCACAACUAGCAGUUGAUAUCCAGGGCUUUCUCUGCCCUCUCAAUUAACAGUCCCUAACUAAGGCUCUCUUCCUAGCCCCAAUUCACAGUCCACGGGGACUGGCACCCCCUAUCAGAGUCCACAUAGAAUAAGCUCUUGAAACAAAUGGAUAGUCUGUUUCCAGUUCCAGGAGACCACCCAAUCUUAGUGCCACACACUUCACCUCCCCACUGGGCUUACUCUUAACACCCUCCAUCUCUCUCUGCUGGUUUAGGACCUUUAGCCUAGUCUCAAGAUUCCUUGGGCUUGCCCCGCCCCCCCCCCCAAGUCCUCAAGCCUUUGUCAGCUCCACCAAGCACCCCACUUCCAGAGGACUCUCAGCAGUCUCCCCAACAAUCCCACGGCUGUCCUGUGCUUCAAACAAGCCAAAAAAUCUGCCUUAGCACAAACCCACAGUCUCACAAAAGCAACACCAUCCUGCCAAGGUGCUGUCCCUCUGUUCAUAGGCUCAAAACCGCUCAGCCCUGCUAGGCUUAUGCACUGCACUUCAAUUCACUGCAGGCCUCCUAGGAGCAUCUUCUUCCCCCAGGGUUAGAAUCAGACUGCAAGCUCUGCUCCUGGAGCUUGGCUUAUAUGGUGAAUAAGCUCCACCCCCUCUGGUCAUUAUGCAAAACAGGUUUGCCCUUAAAGGCACCUCUCCUCAAGAACCAGUGGUGACAAGUGAAGGUCAUGAACAUCCAGAUUUUCACUGACCAACAUGACAUUAGAAACUUCUGACAAGCAAUAAAAAACAUUCACAGGCCAUGUUGCACUGGCCUAGCCCCCUUGUGAUCCCAGGAUGGCUCCACCCUUCUCACAGAUAAUCAAGCAAAGCUGGAAAGAGCACUUCAAGUCUCUACUUAACCAUGGAUCUGAGGUCUCAGCUGCCACCAUCGAGUCCAUCCCUCAACACCCAGUAAGAGAACCUCUUGCUGAUCCCCUAUCCUUCAAGGAUGUCUAGUAUGCCAUCACUCAGACCAAGAACAAUAAGGCACUAGGCCCAGAUGGCAUCCCCGCAGAGGUCUUUAAAGUUGGUAGAACAGCAUUAGCACAACAUUUCACCAACUGUUCAUCAAAAUAUGAGUUAAUGAGGAAGUUCCACCUGACUUAAAGAAUGCCAACAUUGUGACCAUCUUCAAGAAAGGGGACAAGUCAGUGUGUGGGAACUACUAAGGCACUGCCCUCUUCUCCAUUGCCAGGAAGAUUAUUACCUGUAUCCUUCUGAAUCACUUCUUCCCCCUUUCCGAAGAUGUCCUCCCAGAAUCCCAGUUUGGUUUUAGACCAUCUCAGCGACGUAAUUUUUGUUGCAUGACAGAUCCAGGGGAAGCGUAGAAAGCAACACCAAGAGCUGCUUAUGGUAUUCGUUACCCUAAGCAAGGCCUUCAACUCCAUCAAUUGUGAAGCCUUAUGGAAGCUGCUGGUUAGGUCUGGUUGUCCACUGAGGCUCAUCAGCAUCCUCAGGCUACUCCAUGAUGGGAUGACUGCCACAGUCCUUUGCAGUGGAUCAGAGACAGAGCCAUUUGCCAUCUGUACUGGUGUCAAGUAGGGCAGCAGCAUCUCCCCAAACCUUUUCUCCAUCUAUCUUGCUGUGAUUUUGAUUCCCAUCUGUGACCACCUUCCUCCUGAAAUUGGGGUUGAGUAUCAAAUGGACAGUCAACUUUUCAACCUGCAGCGCCUUCACAGCAAAAUGAAAAUUACCAAAACUGGCAUCACCGACCUUCAGUAUGCUGACGACUGUGUUAUCCUUGUGCACACUGAGACUGAUCUGGAGUCCACCCUUGACCUUUUCUCAGGUGCCUAUCACAGCCUGGGACUCUCCUUUAACAUUGGGAAGAACAAGGUGAUCCAUCAGCCUGCCCCAGCACAAGCUGCCCUCCUCCCCCCACAAAUUAGCACUGAUGGAGAACCUCAGGAAAACAUUGAGCAUUUCCCAUACCUUGGUAGCCACCUCUCCCAGUCAUUCUUGAUAUAGAAAUCGAAUAUAGGAUUCACUGUGCCAACGUAUCCUUCAGAAAGCUGCUUCGCCAUGUCUUUGCUGACCAAGAUCUGCAGAUGGAAGCUAAGAUCCUGGUCUACAAUGCAUUGAUUAUCCCCACACUCCUCUAUGAGUGUGAAACAUGGGUGAUGUAUCAAACCCAUCUUAUGUGCCUGGAACAGUUCCAUCAGCAUUGCCUCAGGAAGAUCCUUUGCACGAGAUGGGAAGACCACUGCACCAAUGCCAGCAUCCUCUUUGCAGCUAACAUAACCAGCAUUGAGGCCAAAGAUCAUGAAAUAUCAACUGCACUGUGCUGGCCACUGUGCACUGAUGGCUGACACUUGUUUCCCAAAGCAAGUCCUCUUCUUUCAAGUCAAUCAUGGUAAGAGGACCCACAGAGGACAGAGGAAGCACUACAAGGACACCCUGAAAGCAAACCUUAAGGAGGGUGAAAUCACCCUUACAAACUGGGAAGUGCUGGCUGGUAACAGGUCUCAAUGGCACUGCAUUAUACAUCAAGCUAGAGCUCACAUUGAAGAGAACUGUCUUGCUCUGGAAGCCAAGAAAUGGCAGAGAAGGAAGGAAAGUGCACAACAUCCUGGCCAACAGCUGUGCACCCACCAAGGCACCACUUGUCAUAUCUGUGGAAAACCUUGCAGAGCACCGAUUGGCCUCCUCAGCCCCUUAAAACUCACCAGUAAUCUCCCUCCCUCCCCUGUCCCCUCUCCAGCAGACAUCAGCCCUGUAUUGAGUGAUAGCUGAUGAUGAUUUUUUCCACAUCUUCAGUAACAGGGAAAGGGCCCUUAUUACACUCAUGACCACUAGCAUUUCACUGGAGACAGGCCCAGGAUUUAAAAUUGGAGACCCUCUGUAUUUAACCUUGUUUCUGUUUGUGAUUUGGUCUGGCCAGUUGCACUAGCAACCUCACACUGAGGCAGCAGGAACCGAGGUCCCUUCCAGCCCUUAUGUCUAUGAAAUCUAUGAAACUGAGUUAGAAGGAGGAAUACCAGUCACCACCACCAUUCACAGUGCCAGCACAGUCUAACCAGGGAGGUCUCCCGGCCUGACCUCAGCCAGGGACAGCACUGUUGCAGUGUGCUGGUUCUGACUUGAUCACUGGCACUUACUGUGAUACAAAUCAAGAGUGACAUGACAUCUGGUCUCAGAGCUUACAUAUUGCUAUGGUGAUAAAUGAGAUUGUGUUUUAAUAAAAUGGCAACACUGAGCUCUUGAAAAAAGUUAAGAAUGUCCUUUUCAUCUAGAAGGGGCUCUGUGUGCAUUAACUCUUCAGAAACCAACACCCUGAGUCUACCAUCUCUGGCCCUCAUUCUGAACAGACUUCUGGAGCUGUGCAAACACUGGAGGUCAGGGUCCGGGUCUCUGAAGAGCAGUAAUCUGAGGUUCUGAGUGCUUCACAGCACCUGCAGGGACUUGAGGCUGUAUAAGAAGCAGGGGAAGGGCUAGAGUUGUGCCAGAAGCUGUAUCUGGCUAUUUGGGGCUGGGCAGCCUGAGGUGGUCGGAUGUGAUGCCAGCCACUUCUCUCAUGCAUUGCUGUCUACAGUGCACCUUAGCUGUGCUGGUACAAUGAGUUAUUGGGCUCUGAAGAACCUUUGGCUUGGAUCUAUGAAACCAAUUCUUUCUUAGAUGUUACUGGAAGGAUGGUGCGCUUCUCAACUGGGUUGGAUGAUCAGAAUGAAGUGCACAAACAACAGGGAGCCAACCUGCAGCACAGGCAUCCAAAUCUCAGUCCAGAGAACAGGCAGCAUGCUGCACUGAAUCAGAGAAAAGGCAGAGAGUGAGGAAGCUGAUGGAAAAGCUUGAGGCUGAGACUCUUUGCUGGGGGCUUAUGGAAGCUGUCAGGAACCCAGAGCAUGGCUAGUAUGAACUAACAUUUCCAACCACUUGCAAUGUAAUGACAUAUAGUCUGUCUGGUUAGUAAUGAUAAACAUCACCUGGGAGCUCUAUCUCACAGAGAUAAGAAAUACUGCUGGAAAAGUCUCUUCCUGAAAGCCCAGCAAAAAACCUUUUGUUUAAUUUAUAAGGCUCGGGCUAUUUUUAGCCUGCAUAUCUUUGGGCCCUUUAUCUGUGACUGCUGCUCUAAGCAAACAGCUGGGGCAGUCUAAUUAUUUUUUUGUCAAGCAGGUACUCAUCUCUGACCUCUUCUAUUUUCUGUUGCUUUAUUAACCACUUGGCUGGAGAAGAAAAUUGGAGAGAGAGACGCAGAAGGAAGGUGCUCAAGUGAGGAAGGCUAGGUUAAGAGGGAAGGGUAACAACAGUAAGGUAGUAUACAGCACACAGAGAAAGGGAAAACAUGCUUGCCCAAAGAUGUCCUUUCAUAGAUUCAUUACAUGGGGUCUUCAGUCUGCUUGGUGAUGGAAGGCAAACCCAUCCCUGUCACUAGCAUGGAGGGGCGCGGCCCAGGCCUGAAACCCCAUGCAGUAGGAAAGCAGCAAAGGAGAACAGCCAGGGCAGAAGUUGCUACGAAUAUCACUUGGAAACACAAUUGUGCCGCAGUAUCCUCAGAAUUUCUCAACCCAGACAGAAGCAGCAUUGGAUCCCAGCUUCUUUUGAACAAUCUGCCUGUUGGGUUUGCGGGCCUUCAUAUUUGGAGAGGAAACUCUGAAGGAAACUUGGAAACAUUAGAGCAGCAAAUGGCAAUGUUUGCUAACCACGGGCCAGAAUGACCCAGCUCUGGUCCCAAGUGGGCUGGAAGUAGGACUUGGUGGUUGUUGCUGCUUUUCUCUGCUGCCCGGUCUGUUGUCCAGCCCCAGCAAAGACAAAACCCUUUGCCUCCCAACGGCGUUGUGGAUGAAGCCUCCAUCACUGAAUGACAUUGAAGUCGCCCUGGCUCCACAGACCAUAGGUUGCCAACCCCUGCAUUAUAACAUAUUCGGGGAUGGAAAAAAAGAGAUGCCAGCUCUCUAGAGAGAGAACAACUCAAUGCUCUUUUCUUGAGGAAGUACAGAUAGGAGCACUUGUUUCACCAUGGCUACAGCUACAGAAGUGGGGACCAGUUCCUAUUUCUCCUAUUAGGCAUGUAAAUUGAGUACCUAAGUACUAAGGCAUGUGAUUCUAUUCCAGCCUGCUCAUAUCCCUGGAAAAGAAUUAGUGCAAAAGGUGGGUGGGUCCUCAUCUGCCUCACUGCUUUUUUGUGACUCAACCUUAAGGCUAAGAGGACGGUGUGUUACAAGAGUAGUGUCACAACCCAAAGUUGUGAGUUUUUGUUUGUGUGCGCUUGGGCACCACUGAAUUAUUUCCCGCCAAAUUGCAGCUUCUUUGCACGGUGGAGUUUUCCGCUGCAGAGGAGAACCCCAGGUGCAAAAGAAGUUCCCGCCGUUUUGUAGCUUUCUUUGCAGUGUGCAUUUCUUCUUUGCAGCACAGAAAUGCUCGUUGCAAGGAGUUCCCGCCAUUCAUAUUCAAAUUUGUGCCCCACCAUUGGCUAGUUCUAAAUUAUUCACACGUAGCGGCUAGUGAUUGGCUUGCUAGCCGUAUAAAGAGCUUGAGUGGUUUCUGCCCAAGUUGGAGGACUCCACGAACACCAGGAGGAGGAGACUUCACGCUGUGUGAAGAUCUCUAAGCGCUGCAGAUCCUUACGGACCCAAUGCGUUUCAAGCAGGCAACAGAGGUCUGAUCAGCCUCUAGCCUCUCCCCAUCACCGAGCGCAAUCCCGAUGUAUCCUUCUUCCCUGCGCGCAAAAAGGAUCCACAGAGCCUAGCAAACUUUGUGUGAGUGUAUUCAGAGCUCUUGUUUUGUUUCGAGUACUUUCUUCGGUUGGCGCGACGGGCUCGCGGUUUAAAGCCUCCAACUGGUUGGGCUAGAAGAGUGUUCACGGGAAGGAACUCUAGUCCACCUCUCUUCUUUUAUAUCUGCAACUGUAACUCAAGCAAGUUUUCCUGCCUGCACUGCAACCAUCUUGGGUGUAAGUAAAUAAUCUUUAAAUCAA